rnacentral:rRNA from 1 species
CACAUGCAAGUCGAACGGAGUCAAGAGGAGCUUGCUUUUCUUGACUUAGUGGCGAACGGGUGAGUAACGCGUGAGUAACCUGCCCUGGAGUGGGGGACAACAGUUGGAAACGACUGCUAAUACCGCAUAAGCCCACGAUCCGGCAUCGGAUUGAGGGAAAAGGAUUUAUUCGCUUCAGGAUGGACUCGCGUCCAAUUAGCUAGUUGGUGAGGUAACGGCCCACCAAGGCGACGAUUGGUAGCCGGACUGAGAGGUUGAACGGCCACAUUGGGACUGAGACACGGCCCAGACUCCUACGGGAGGCAGCAGUGGGGGAUAUUGCACAAUGGGGGAAACCCUGAUGCAGCGACGCCGCGUGGAGGAAGAAGGUUUUCGGAUUGUAAACUCCUGUCGUUAGGGACGAUAAUGACGGUACCUAACAAGAAAGCACCGGCUAACUACGUGCCAGCAGCCGCGGUAAAACGUAGGGUGCAAGCGUUGUCCGGAAUUACUGGGUGUAAAGGGAGCGCAGGCGGACCGGCAAGUUGGAAGUGAAAACUAUGGGCUCAACCCAUAAAUUGCUUUCAAAACUGCUGGCCUUGAGUAGUGCAGAGGUAGGUGGAAUUCCCGGUGUAGCGGUGGAAUGCGUAGAUAUCGGGAGGAACACCAGUGGCGAAGGCGACCUACUGGGCACCAACUGACGCUGAGGCUCGAAAGCAUGGGUAGCAAACAGGAUUAGAUACCCUGGUAGUCCAUGCCGUAAACGAUGAUUACUAGGUGUUGGAGGAUUGACCCCUUCAGUGCCGCAGUUAACACAAUAAGUAAUCCACCUGGGGAGUACGACCGCAAGGUUGAAACUCAAAGGAAUUGACGG